rnacentral:lncRNA from 1 species
ACGCAUGCCAGGCGAGCGUGCUACCGCUUGAGCCACAUCCCCAGCCCUUAGAAUAUAUUUUUAUGUGUGAAUAUUUUUUUGUAUUGGAGAGUUUACCUGGGGAUACUUUACCACUUUUGUCUAUCCCCACCCCUUCUCCCUUUUUUAAAAAAGUUUUGAGAUAGCAGGGUCCUAAGCAACAAAGUGAGACUGAGUUGUUGAGGAUAGUUUCAAAUUUGCAAUCCUCCCUCAUACUCCUGAGUCUGAAAUUAUAGGUGUGUGAGAGGUUUUAUAGUUUUAUAAAGUACCAUCUGACUUAAUUGCAAUGUUUCUUAGUGAAAAUGAUAUGAUUGGCUUACUAGAUUUUGGAUUGGUUUUUUGAACCAAAAUAAGUAUUGAUGUUAAGAUUAUUAGAUGGAGAAAAAUCUAAAUCCUAAAGCUUGCUUGAGGAUAAAUAUGGCUGUGCUUGUACUUUGUCAAAAGUAGAGACAUGGAACCUUGUUUCCAAUAGUGUGUGUGAAUGCAUGUGUGUAUAUUUCCAACUGAGAAAUUCUAAAAAUGCGGCUCAUGGGUUUUAGUUAAUCUCAACAAAAAGGAAGUUUUUCUUUAUUUUUUAAAAUUUUUUUUGAGAGAAUUUUUUUUUAAUAUUUAUUUUAGUUCUCGGCGGACACAACAUCUUUGUAUGUGGUGCUGAGGAUCGAACCCCGGCCGCACGCCAGGCGAGCGCACUACCGCUUGAGCCACAUCCCCAGCCCAAAAGGAAGUUUUUCUAAGUGGGCAGUAAUUAAACAUGAAAAGGAAAAAAAGGUGCUAAAAGAGUAUAAAGAGUAAGGCACUAAGCAACUCACUGAGACCCUGUCUAAAUAAAAUACAAAAAAGAAAUAGGGCUGGGGAUGUAGCUUAGUGGUUGAGUUAUCCCUGAGUUCAAUCCCAGGUAUCAGGAAAAAAAUACAUGGUUCCUGAAAAAUGGUAUAGAUGAGGAAAGUGUUUCUUGGGAGAGUCUUAUAUAUAUCCUUUGCUUCAUACAAGAAGGGAGGAAAGAGAUUUCUGGCUGCAUAAAGGAUGGAGGUAGUAGUAUAGGCAUAACUUUAGAAUAACGUAAGAGUGCUGGGAGGGUAUGAUAACUCUCAGGCUGUCACCACAAAAUCUGAGAAAUACCCAUAGGUCUGUAUCACAACCUAGCACAUGUCAUUUGCCACUGACUAACGUUUUAUAUGUAGAGAGAUUAGCUAUACACAAUAUUACAUAUACCUGGCUUUUAGAGAAACAGGUGAUUAAAGUAAUGAAAAUAGUGAACCUGGUAAUAAAACUUCCCUGAAAGCAAUAAGUUAACACUUGAUUAAAAUUUUGAAAAGAAUGGCUUAAGGUUGCUGACUAUCUUAAAGUAUUAAAAUAGGUCUUAAACUUUGAGCUAAAUCAGUUGAGUUGCACUGUAGAUAUAUAUUCAGUGACAAUGUAUUAGUGAAUUUAAAAGUUAAAUAGCUUUUGGUGUAAAAUGCUCUAUAGUGGCCCAUUAUUGUCAGGCACUUGGAUUUUUCUCUUGAUAGAAUGAAUGCCUUACAUUUCUUCCCAUGUUUUUGCAAUUUGUUUGGUUUUGUGGGUAUGUAAAGUGAAGGAUGUGUCGCCAGCUUCAGAACUAAAUUUAAAUUAGUGUCUCCAGUAAAGGGGCUCAAUUGCAAUGAAGUGAAAAGUUUAUAUGAGAAUAAAAAUUGUUAAAUUCAGGGGCACUUAGGUAUAGGAAAAAUAGCAGUAUGUGGUUAGUACUUUAAUGAAGUUUCUAGAUAUUUAUAAUUUUAUACUGAAUUUAUUCAAAUCAUUGAUUUAGUGAUAUGGAAAGAGCUUUUUAUUUGCAUUAAUUUUGGUACCAAGCAUUGUUACGUGUCUUCCCUGUAGGGAGAUAAAGGAAAAGGUAGUAAAAGAUCAAAGUAUAUUCUUAAAAGGAGUAGUUCUUUACAAGGUACUUCUUAAUGCAAAUUUUAGGUUGUUUUAUAUAGUUUAUAAAUGAAAACAGCAUUCAGGUUUUGGGCAUGGUAAUUUGUAACCCUUUGCUUCCCUAUAUUUGAAUAUAAAGCUAGCAUGUUGUAUAAAUACGGAAUUUGAGUUGAAUCCCAUCAUUCUAUGCUUGAGGAAAAUAAUUUGAAUUUUGUCUAGUACUUGACUUCAAACUAUCUUUUAAAAGUCAGUUCUUGCUCUUAUCUUUAUCUCUUUGUUGAAAAGACUGAGCUCAACUUGUAAUGUUGAGAGGGAAGAAAACAAAAACACCCAUUCCAGUGUUUCUGCCUCUUAGCACCAGGGCCCAGAAUGGACCUGGGAAAGAGGGCACAGCUAGUAUAAACUUGGUGAGAGGGUAGAAUUGAGUACAUUGCUCUGGCUGCAGUGGAUUGGCUAGGUUCUUUGAUGUCCAGUCACCUCCAGCAAGUUCUCAUGUAAAAACAUAAAAGUGUUUUUAGAUGUCUGAAAGAAGAUCUUGGGCCAUCAAAGCUCAAAGCCACCCACCCCUGCCUUAUUCCUAAUUAUUCCAGAAGUAGUGCUGGAGAGAAGCCU